AUAUAAUUUUAAUUUUUAAAAUACGAGUAUUUCAAGUAAAAUCAGAAACGUCAUAAUAUUUUGCCAGGUUUUUGGCGUUCCAGAUAAUGCUAUGCACCGUGCAAUAAUUGUAUGUUAUGACACGUAAAAUGAAAACGAAUUUCGUCACGAAAUUUGAAAUAUUUUACAAAAAGGUACAAAGUUCAGUAUUAUAUAUAUUACCCAGGUAUUCUAGGUACUUAUAACGUAAAAUCGCUCACU